rnacentral:lncRNA from 1 species
GGCCUCUCAGUGUUCACGUGAAAGGAAGAGUCUCACAUCUCUCUCUUUAAAUUAAAAGCUAGAAAUGAUUAAGCUUAGUGAGGAAGACAUGUUGAAAGCUGAGAUAGGUUGAAAGCUAGGCCUCUUGUACCAAACAGCCAGUUGUGAAUGCAAAGGAAAAGUUCUUGAAGGAAGUAAAACCACUCCACUGAACACAUGAGUGAUAAGAAACCAAAACAGCUUUAUUGCUGAUACGGAGAAAGUUUGAGUGAUCUGGAAAGAAGAUCAAACCAGCCACAACAUGCCUUUAAGCCACAGCCUAAUCCACAGCAGGGUCCUAACUUUCUUCAAUUCUGUGACGGCUGAGAGAGAUGAGGAAGCUGCAGAAGAAAAGUUAGAAGCUAGCAGAGGUUGCUUCAUGAGGUUUAAGGAAAGAAGCUGUCUCCACAACAUAACAGUGCAAAGUGAAGCAGCAAAUGUUAGUGUAGACACUGCAGCAAGUUAUUCAGAAAACCUAGCUAAGAUAGUGGAUGAAGGUGGCUAUACUAAACAACAUAUUUUUAAUGUAGAUGAAACACUUUAUAUUGGAAGAAGAUACCAUCUUGGACUUCCAUAACUAGAGAGAAGUCAGUGCCUGGCUUCAAAGGACAGUCUGCCUUUCUUGAUAGGAGCUAAUGGAGCUGGUGACUUGAAGUUGAAGCCAAUGCUCAUUUACUAAGCUGAAAAUCCUAGAGUCCUUAAGGAUCAUGCUGGCUGGGCAUGCUGUAAUCCUAGCACAUUGAGAGGCCAAGUCAGGAGGAUUGCUGAGCCCAGGAGUUUGAGACUAGCCUGGGCAACAUGGAAAAACCCUGUCUCUACAAAAAAAUACAAAAAUUAGCUGGGUGUGGUGGUACACACCUGUGGUCCCAGCUACUAGGGAGGCUAAGGUGGGUAGAUUGCUUGAGCCUGGGAAGCAGAGGUUGCAGUGAGCCAAGAUUGUGCCACUGCACUCCAGCCUGGGUAACAGAGAAAGACCCUGUCUCAAACAAACACACAAACAAACAAAAAGAAUCAUGCUAAAUCUACUCUGCCUGUGCUCUAGAAAUGGAACAACAAAGCCUGGACGAUAGCACAUUUAUUUACAGCAUGGUUUACUGAAUAUUUUAAGCCCACUGUUGAGACCUACUGCUCAGAAGAAAAAAAGAUUCCUUUCGAAAUAUUACUGCUCAUUGACAAUGCACCGAGUCACUGAAGAGCUCUGAGGGAGAUGUGCAAAAAGGUUAAUAUUGUUUUCAUGCCUGCUAACACAGCUAACCAUUCCACAGCCCACAGAUCAAGGAGUAAUUUCAACUUUCAAGUCUUAUUAUUUAAGAAAUACAUUUUGUAAGGGUAUAGCUGCCAUAGAUAGUGAUUCCUCUGAUGGAUCUGAGCAAAGUACAUUGAAAACCUUCUGGAGAGGAUUCACAUUCUAGAUGCAAUUAAGAACAUUUGUGAUUCAUGGGAGGAGAUCAAAAUAUCAACAUGAACAGGAGUUUGGAAGAAGUUGAUUCCCAUCCUCAUGGAUGACUUUCACAGGUUCAAGACUUCAGUGGAGGAAAUAACUGUAGAUAUAGUGGAAAUAGCAAGAGAACUAGAAUUAGAAGUGUAGCCUGAAGAUGUGACAGAAUUGCUGCAUUCUUAUGAUAAAAUUUGAAUGGAUGAGAAGUUGCUUCUUAUGGAUGAGUAAAGAAAGUGGUUUCUUAGGAUGAAAUCUACUCCUGGGGAAGAUGCUGUGAAAUUGUUGAAAUAACAGCAAAGAAUUUAGAAUGUCACAUAAACUUGACUGAUAAAGCAGUGGCAGAGUUUGAGAGGAUUGACUCCAACUUUGAGAGUUCUGUGGGUAAAAUGCUAUUAAACAGCAUCACAUACCACAGAGAAAUAGUUCAUGAAAGGAAGAAUCAACUGAUGCAGCAAACUUCAGUGUUGUCAUGUUUUAAGAAAUUGCCACAGCCACCUGAGCCUUCAGCAGUUAUCACCCUAAUCAGCCAUGAGUCAGCAGACAUUAAGCCAUUCACUCAGUAAAUAUGUUCCAGUUUGGAGCUGAUCUCAACAAUGAUGUGUUAUGCCUUAGCAUCAGCCUGAAGCAUACGCACUGCUGCAGUGAGCCAGUCUUCUGAGCUGUUUCACCCAGGAAUGCAUUCAGACCAACUGCAGAAGAAUGAAAGAAGUGUCAAAUAGUUAAAGAAUCUAGCCCACACAGAAAGGGAGCUUCUGGUCAGGAGUUCUUCAGAGAGGAUAUGGUGGGUAUUUACUUGGGCCUCAAGGGUCCAGCUUCAGGUUCUUUGCCAUCAGUGGUGGAGACCAGUGAUACACAGCAAGGAACACGUCUUGGAACUACUGAUCCUGACCAUCCUGCCCAAGAACUCCAGGCCUGGGUAUAGGAGCAUCCCAGAGUAUAGGAAAGAGGCUGUCUGUACUGAAGAACUUGGAGAGGAAGCUGAAUGAUCUGAGAGGAAAGGUAAAAUGAAGAAAUGUCUUAUCAGAUAGCAGAUAUUAUCUCCAGAGAGAGAUAAGAGAGUUGAGAUAACUUCUCUAGCGUAGUUAGAGAAAAUGGCUAACAUGUUAUUGGCCAGAGUUAUUUAUUUUUGUUCUAGUUUGGUGAGUUUUUUUUAACUUGUAGGCCCUGUGUAUUUUCCCCUCUUUGUCUGUGUAUCCCUGCCCUUGCAGAUGACAGAAAACUGCUUUCUGCCCUCCCAUCGUGUGUUCCACAGUAAUAAUGGGAUUUUAAGCUCUAACUUUCAGCAAAUGUCACCCUCAUUAAACUCCAUCUAAUUGUGCCCAGUUCCCCACCCUCCUACAGGGGACAAGAAGUGUCCCAACGCAAAUAGUGUAUCUGGCAGCCUCAUAGGACUCAACUGGAGUCCGGCUCCAGCCAGUAAAGGGUCAACUCAGCUCUGAAUGUUGGGAGUUUCACACUGUUAAGGAGAACGCUGAGGAGGAGAUAGCAAAGAAGAAGUUAGGAAAUGUUGGUGUCUUUUUGCAUUUUUCCAAAUGAACCUUGUCACUAAAAUCUCUGCAUACCUUUCAUUUAAUCUCUAUUGCCUAUUCCACUUUUAACCUGUUCCUCUAAGCAUACCACUUUAGCCUGGAUUAUGAUUCUUUUCUUUCUUCACUUCUUUGCCUUAAAAUUGUUUUUUUUAAAAAAUCCUGCUACUCAUGUUACCUUGCAUGGUUCAGUUUCUCCCUUCUAAUACUGCCAACUUCCUUAACCCAGACCUCUUAUCGCAAAGACAGGAGAAUGUUUUUCUAUAUUGAAGCCAAUAGAAAACUACUAAAAGGCUACAUGCAAUUAGUAAAUUUUUAAAUGUACAUUUUUUAAAUGAGUGUAGGAAACAUAAAACUUUAGUAGGUGCAUGCUUACUGGGAAAGCACGCAUGCAUGCUAAAAUGUCAUUGUACAGUACAUAUUGUUUACCACUUGUUUUUUAGUUUAAUAUUACAUUAUGG